CCCCGGCCUGGGUGGCCUGAGGAAGAAGGAGGGAGGUGGACGGAAGGGGCGGGGGCGUAGCUGACGCCGCCGCCGCCGCCGCCCCCACCAUUUUGGAGCGGCUUCUCGGGAGGCUGAAGGAGGCCCUGAGCCCCACCCACUCGCCCGCCUUCCUGCGUCCUCGGAACUUCUCCAGGCUGGCGGCCGCCCGGCGGCUUGGUUUCCAUUCUCCGCCAUGCCCUCUUCCCGCUUUGUGACCUUGAGCAAAUCGUUUAUAUAUAAAGCGAGUUCACAGGUUUUCCAGAAGUCGACUACAUCAUGCCAUGACCAGGGCAAAAUACUGCAGACACAAUGAUGAACUAAAUGAGUGCCAUCUGCCUCCUCUCCAGUCCAGAGACUAUCCCAUGGGUCCAGGUUUUACCCUUUCUUCUCAGCCAGUCAGUUCCAUUGAGUCCCCUCUGCUCCUCCACUGAUCAUUCCCUCUUCUAAUUAACUGAUCAGCUAAUGGCUGCUUCGGACCACCACAGAACUAGAGUCCAUCCAGGGAUCAUCAACAUCCUGUCAGAUACAAAAGCAGCCAGAGUGCCAAGCCAAGAGGGAUGAGGGACGGACGGAUGAGGGAUGGACGGCUCCAGGGCAGCAGAACAGCCCACCGUCCCAGGACGCCUGUCUACCUCGGAAGGUCCCCUUCCCUACCCCCCUAAGAGCCAACCAACGCCCACCAAGUCAGCUGGAAGCAGUUUUUCCAGGAGAAACAACGCCUCUAUUCCUAUUCACUCGCUUUUUUAUAAGCAAAAAGCCUGCAAUGUUAGGACCCUGCCCUCACUCCUGCACAUGCACAGCUCGGGGUCUUGUGUCUUAUGUCAUCAGCAUGCACUGGCGACUACUACGUACACAUGGUGUGGCUAUGUAUGCACAGUGUGGUCAUAGUCUGCACCUUAAAAAGCCUGAUGCGAACCCCCACCCUCUUUUUGUUCUCUACUCUGUCUCUGUUCCUGCUCUGCUCUGCUCCCGCCAUCUUUCUCUCUCUCCAGGUCUGGCUCUCCUCCCUCCUAUCCCCUUCUUCCUUCUAAUAAAGCUCUCUGUAACUCUGGUAGUCGUGGCUGUGGUUCAAGACCUUUUCCCGCGGUAACCAGUGCCACCACCAGCGCCGGUCAUACUCUCAGAAAGCACCUUUACCCACUAAGGCAUCUCACUACCCACCCUUCUCUUCAAUUUUUUAAAUUAUGUUUAUUUUAUAUAUUUGGGUGUUUUUGCCUCCACCGUGUAUGAAUGAAUGUCUGAGCCCCAUGGGGUUGCAGUGCCUUUGGAUGUCACAAGAGAGAAUGAGAUUCCCUAGAACUGGGACUUACAACUUUGUUCUCUGGAAUAGUAGCCAGUGGUCUCAACCACUGAGCCCUCUCACUAGCCCCACCUCUCCUUUAAAGGUGGAGUCUCAGGGUUAAGGAUGUAGCUCAGUUGGUAGAGUGCCUAG